rnacentral:rRNA from 1 species
UAGAUGCGAGAGUAGAGCAUAUCAAUAAGCGGAGGAAAAGGUACCUACGCUUAGGAUGUUGACGAGACUGUCGAUCUCAUCUAUACAUGACUCUGUGCAUAUCAAUAAGCGGAGGAAAAGUACCUACGCUUAGGAUGUUGACACACGCGCGUGCACGACUCUAUACAUGACUCUGUGCAUAUCAAUAAGCGGAGGAAAAGAGGGCUAUUACCUACGCUUAGGAUGUUGAUAUGCAUGAUUGAUAUAGUCUAUACAUGACUCUGCGCAUAUCAAUAAGCGGAGGAAAAGGCUGCGGAACUGAACGACCGCUACCUACGCUUAGGAUGUUGACGAGACUGUCGAUCUCAUACAUGACUCUGUGCAUAUCAAUAAGCGGAGGAAAAGUACUACCUACGCUUAGGAUGUUGACGAGACUGUCGAUCUCAUCUAUACAUGACUCUGUGCAUAUCAAUAAGCGGAGGAAAAGUCAACUACCCACGCUUAGGAUGUUGACGCGCGUGUGUGCGUGAGUCUAUACAUGACUCUGUGCAUAUCAAUAAGCGGAGGAAAAGGUACCUACGCUUAGGACGUUGACACACGCGCGUGCUCGACUCUAUACAUGGCUCUGUGCAUAUCAAUAAGCGGAGGAAAAGAGGGCUAUUACCUACGCUUAGGAUGUUGACGCAUGAGAUAUACGC